rnacentral:rRNA from 1 species
UACGUAGGGGGCGAGCGUUGUCCGGAAUUAUUGGGCGUAAAGAGCACGUAGGCGGUUUACCAAGUCAGUUGUGAAAACCCGGGGCUCAACUCCGGGACGGCAAAUGAAACUGGUAGGCUUGAGGACAGGAGAGGAGAGUGGAAUUCCUAGUGUAGCGGUGAAAUGCGUAGAUAUUAGGAGGAACACCAGUGGCGAAGGCGACUCUCUGGCCUGUAACUGACGCUGAGGUGCGAAAGCUAGGGGAGCGAACGGG